rnacentral:rRNA from 1 species
AUUGAACGCUGGCGGCAGGCCUAACACAUGCAAGUCGAACGAGUGGCGGACGGGUGCGUAAUGUCUGGGAAACUGCCCGAUGGAGGGGGCUAACUACUGGAAACGGUAGCUAAUACCGCAUACCAUCGGAUGUGCCCCGAUGGGAUUAGCUAGUAGGUGGGGUAACGGCUCACCUAGGCGACUAUCCCUAGCUGGUCUGAGAGGAUGACCAUCCACACUGGAACUGAGACACGGGCCAGACUCCUACGGGAGGAAGCAGUGGGGAAUAUUGCACAAGGGGCGCAAGCCUGAUGCAGCCAUGCCGCGUGUAUGAAGAAGGCCUUCGGGUUGUAAAGUACUUUCAGCGAGGAGGCGUUACUCGCAGAAGAAGCACCGGCUAACUCCGUGCCAGCAGCCGCGGGAAUUC